rnacentral:rRNA from 1 species
UACGGAGGAUGCAAGCGUUAUCCGGAUUUAUUGGGUUUAAAGGGUCCGUAGGCGGGCUAAUAAGUCAGUGGUGAAAUCGAGCAGCUUAACUGUUCAACUGCCAUUGAAACUGUUGGUCUUGAGUGAAUUUGAAGUUGCCGGAAUAUGUAGUGUAGCGGUGAAAUGCAUAGAUAUUACAUAGAACACCAAUUGCGAAGGCAGGUAACUAAGAUUUAACUGACGCUGAUGGACGAAAGCGUGGGGAUCAAACAGGAUUAGAUACCCU